UUAAAUUACAACAAGUAUGAGAUCUAACAAAAACACUACAGAAGUGAACAAAAAGUAAACAUAAAAAUAUAUAAAAUCAUUAAAAGCACUUCCAGAAUAUAAGAGAAAUUAAUGCUUAAUCGAAUUGUUCAAAAUAAUUUCUUAAACCAAAUGUUUUAAAACUUGUUGAAUAACAUUUGGUUGACUAAGGACAAUAUCUAAAUGAUUUUCAAAGAGAGGUAAUUAUAGAGAGCAUACAAAGUAUACAACAAUACCUGUCUUUUUCUUGAUGAACGUUUCCUCACAGGUGAGGAUGAGGAUGAUGUAGCAGUCACAGGGGCAGGUGAUGAACUUUUCCUCACAGGUGAGGAUGAGGAUGAUGUAGCAGUCACAGGAGCAGGUGAUGAACUUUUCCUCACAGGUGAGGAUGAGGAUGAUGUAGCAGUCACAGGGGCAGGUGAUGAACUUUUCCUCACAGGUGAGGAUGAGAAUGAUGUAGCAGUAACAGGGGCAGGUGAUGAACUUUUCCUCACAGGUGAGGAUGAGGAUGAUGUAGCAGUAACAGGGGCAGGUGAUGAACUUUUCCUCACAGGUGAGGAUGAGGAUGAUGUAGCAGUAACAGGGGCAGGUGAUGAACUUUUCCUCACAGGUGAGGAUGAGGAUGAGGAUGAUGUAGCAGUCACAGGAGCAGGUGAUGAACGCUGCACAGAAGACCAAAG
ensembl:lncRNA